rnacentral:rRNA from 3 species
AUGCAUGUCUAAGUACAGGCCUAAGCAAGGCGAAACCGCGAAUGGCUCAUUAAAUCAGUUAUGGUUCAUUGGAUCUUACCCUUUCUUACUUGGAUAACUGUGGUAAUUCUAGAGCUAAUACAUGCCAACCAGUAGCUCCGACACACUCCCGUGUGGAAGAGCGCUUUUAUUAGAUCAAAACCAGUCCUCUUUCGGGAGGUCAAACCCCUUUGUGGUGACUCUGAAUAACUUUUAGCUGAGCGUACGGUCUCCGUGCCGACGCCGCAUCUUUCAAGUGUCUGCCUUAUCAGCUUUCGAUUGUAGGUUAUGCGCCUACAAUGGCUAUAACGGGUAACGGGGAAUCAGGGUUCGAUUCCGGAGAGGGAGCCUGAGAAACGGCUACCACA